rnacentral:rRNA from 1 species
UACGUAGGGUGCAAGCGUUGCCCGGAUUUACUGGGCGUAAAGGGCGGGUAGGCGGCCACCGCAAGUCAGUUGUGAAAUCUCCGGGCUUAACCCGGAAAGGUCAACUGAUACUGCGGGGCUAGAGUGCAGAAGGGGCAACUGGAAUUCUCGGUGUAGCGGUGAAAUGCGUAGAUAUCAGGAAGAACACCUAUGGCGAAGGCAGCUCUCUGGGACGGUACUGACGCUGAGACGCGAAAGCGUGGGGAGCGAACAGG